rnacentral:rRNA from 1 species
UACGUAGGGGGCUAGCGUUGUCCGGAUUUAUUGGGCGUAAAGAGCGUGUAGGCGGCCAGGUAGGUCCGUUGUGAAAACUCGAGGCUCAACCUCGAGAUGUCGGCGGAAACCGUCUGGCUAGAGUCCGGAAGAGGAGAGUGGAAUUCCUGGUGUAGCGGUGAAAUGCGCAGAUAUCAGGAAGAACACCUAUGGCGAAGGCAGCUCUCUGGGACGGUACUGACGCUGAGACGCGAAAGCGUGGGGAGCGAACAGG